AGUGAACGCUGGCGGUAGGCCUAACACAUGCAAGUCGAACGGCAGCACAGGAGAGCUUGCUCUCUGGGUGGCGAGUGGCGGGCGGGUGAGGAAUACAUCGGAAUCUACUUUUUCGUGGGGGAUAACGUAGGGAAACUUACGCUAAUACCGCAUACGACCUACGGGUGAAAGCAGGGGACCUUCGGGCCUUGCGCGAUUGAAUGAGCCGAUGUCGGAUUAGCUAGUUGGCGGGGUAAAGGCCCACCAAGGCGACGAUACGUAGCUGGUCUGAGAGGAUAAUCAGCAACACUGGAACUGAGACACGGUCCAGACUCCUACGGGAGGCAGCAGUGGGGAAUAUUGGACAAUGGGCGCAAGCCUGAUCCAGCCAUACCGCGUGGGUGAAGAAGGCCUUCGGGUUGUAAAGCCCUUUUGUUGGGAAAGAAAUCCAGCUGGCUAAUACCCGGUUGGGAUGACGGUACCCAAAGAAUAAGCACCGGCUAACUUCGUGCCAGCCGCCGCAGUAA
rnacentral:rRNA from 1 species